CAGGAUGAAGGCUUCGUGCGUAACACUAUGAGGCGUGGACGGGGCUGAGAACUGGCGCACGGCUGCCACCUGCUGUGGUGGUGACCACCGGGAGUCUCCCUCGCGGGCUGUCUGGCUCAAAAGGUGACAAAGUUCCAGCCACGGGGCCCCUGCUCAGCCCUGAGGACACCCACACUGGCACAGAGGACACUGCGGCACUCAGGGAAGGGCACCUCCCCACGCUGGCACAGGGUCUCAGCACAGGGGACACUGCGGCACUCAGGGAAGGGCACCUCCCCACGCUGGCACAGGGUCUCAGCACAGGGGACAAUGCGGCACUCAGGGAAGGGCACCUCCCCACGCUGGCACAGGGUCUCAGCACAGGGGACACUGCGGCACUCAGGGAAGGGCACCUCCCCACGCUGGCACAGGGUCUCAGCACAGGGGACACUGCGGCACUCAGGGAAGGGCACCUCCCCACGCUGGCACAGGGUCUCAGCGAGAGACUAUGGCAUUUGGGGAAGGGCCAUUUUGUCAUUGACUGGAACUUUCUCAAGAAAGCAUUUUCCACUUGCGUUACCAUGGAGGUUGGCUUUGCUGGAAACCACAGGACCCUGCCCUCCACCAGACACACAGUGUGCAGAGGCGUGUACCCGAAAAGCAAAGUGCGGCCUCACACGGUUCUUUAAUCUGGAGCCGGACUCCUGGGAAACAAACCAAACAGACGCAGAGCGGCUGCUGUCUCAUGCGCACCCGGCCUGCUGUGCCCGCCCCACCCAGUGUGCCCAUCCUGCCCAGUGAGUGUCCCCCCCCGUGUGCCUGCCCUGCACGGCUGGAGUGCGGUGGUGCAAUUUCAGCUCAUGGCAACCUCUACCUCCCGGGCUCAAGCGAUCCACUGGCUCAGCCUCCCAAGUAGCUGGGACUACAGCCUCCGUGGCCACCAAUCUCCUCCAUGAGACCCACUCUCAGCUCCCGCAGGAGGGAGGCAUGGGGCGUUCAUCUUUCUGCGCCUGGCUUCGUUCCAGUUCCAUCCACGCUGCCGCGAACGGCAGGAUUUCGCUCUUUUCAGCUGAAGAGUACCCCACGGCGUCCACGCACCUCGUUUUGUCUGUCCACACAUCUGCUCAUGGACAGACGCCCAGGUUAAUUCCGCAUCUUGGCUAUUGAGAUUAGGCUGCGGUAAACCCAGCAGCACAGACAUCCCUCCACAAAUUUCUUUCCUUUGGAUGGGUGCCCGGCAGGAGAUUUCUGGGCCCUGCGGGAGCUCGGUCUUUAGUUUUCUGAGGAGCCUCCCCACCGUCACCUCCCUGCCAAAGGUGCUCAUGGGUUCCCCUUUCUCCACACCCCGGCCAGCACAUUUUCUGGUUUUUUAAAAUCCCUUUAUUAAAGUUUGUGAA